CCCCUUGAUGGGCUGGCCGGGCCGGAGCUUCAUGUGCUUGAGGGCUUCUUCCAGACCGGCCCGUUCGGCCUCGGGGUAGAGGGC
rnacentral:tRNA from 2 species